AUGUUUAUUGCCACCAAAUCUGAUAUUGAUGAGCUAGAUUUCAGCAAAUCUGUUUGCUAUGCUUUUGUGUGCAAAGAGGCAUUAUUUUCAUUCGAGGACGUGCCUUCCUCUUUGCCCCCUGCUGUCACUAACAUUUUGCAGGAGUUCGCUGACGUCUUUCCACAAGACGUGCCACCGGGAUUACCACCUAUUCGAGGGAUUGAGCAUCAAAUUGACUUAAUUCCCGGUGCAUCGCUACCCAACCGUGCACCAUACCGUACCAAUCCAGAGGAGACGAAGGAGAUUAUGCGUCAAGCCCAUGUACAGGAGCUGCUCGACAAAGGUUAUAUACGCGAAUUUCUUAGUCCUUGUGUUGUUCCUAUUAUACUAGUGCCUAAAAAGGAUGGUACGUCGCGUAUGUGUGUUGAUUGUAGAGGCAUUAAUAAUAUUACUAUUCGUUAUCGUCAUCCUAUUCCUAGGCUAGAUGAUAUGCUUGAUGAAUUGAGUGGCUCUACAAUAUUCUCCAAAGUUGAUUUGCAUAGUGGAUACCAUCAAAUUCGUAUGAAAUUGGGAGAUGAAUGGAAAACAGCAUUUAAAACUAAGUUUGGUUUAUAUGAGUGGUUAGUCAUGCUUUUGGGUUAA
rnacentral:rRNA from 1 species